rnacentral:rRNA from 1 species
AUGCUGGAGGUAUCAGAAGUGCGAAUGCUGACAUAAGUAACGAUAAAGCGGGUGAAAAGCCCGCUCGCCGGAAGACCAAGGGUUCCUGUCCAACGUUAAUCGGGGCAGGGUGAGUCGACCCCUAAGGCGAGGCCGAAAGGCGUAGUCGAUGGGAAACAGGUUAAUAUUCCUGUACUUGGUGUUACUGCGAAGGGGGGACGGAGAAGGCUAUGUUGGCCGGGCGACGGUUGUCCCGGUUUAAGCGUGUAGGCUGGUUUUCCAGGCAAAUCCGGAAAAUCAAGGCUGAGGCGUGAUGACGAGGCACUACGGUGCUGAAGCAACAAAUGCCCUGCUUCCAGGAAAAGCCUCUAAGCAUCAGGUAACAUCAAAUCGUACCCCAAACCGACACAGGUGGUCAGGUAGAGAAUACCAAGGCGCUUGAGAGAACUCGGGUGAAGGAACUAGGCAAAAUGGUGCCGUAACUUCGGGAGAAGGCACGCUGAUAUGUAGGUGAGGUCCCUCGCGGAUGGAGCUGAAAUCAGUCGAAGAUACCAGCUGGCUGCAACUGUUUAUUAAAAACACAGCACUGUGCAAACACGAAAGUGGACGUAUACGGUGUGACGCCUGCCCGGUGCCGGAAGGUUAAUUGAUGGGGUUAGCGCAAGCGAAGCUCUUGAUCGAAGCCCCGGUAAACGGCGGCCGUAACUAUAACGGUCCUAAGGUAGCGAAAUUCCUUGUCGGGUAAGUUCCGACCUGCACGAAUGGCGUAAUGAUGGCCAGGCUGUCUCCACCCGAGACUCAGUGAAAUUGAACUCGCUGUGAAGAUGCAGUGUACCCGCGGCAAGACGGAAAGACCCCGUGAACCUUUACUAUAGCUUGACACUGAACAUUGAGCCUUGAUGUGUAGGAUAGGUGGGAGGCUUAGAAGUGUGGACGCCAGUCUGCAUGGAGCCGACCUUGAAAUACCACCCUUUAAUGUUUGAUGUUCUAACGUUGACCCGUAAUCCGGGUUGCGGACAGUGUCUGGUGGGUAGUUUGACUGGGGCGGUCUCCUCCUAAAGAGUAACGGAGGAGCACGAAGGUUGGCUAAUCCUGGUCGGACAUCAGGAGGUUAGUGCAAUGGCAUAAGCCAGCUUGACUGCGAGCGUGACGGCGCGAGCAGGUGCGAAAGCAGGUCAUAGUGAUCCGGUGGUUCUGAAUGGAAGGGCCAUCGCUCAACGGAUAAAAGGUACUCCGGGGAUAACAGGCUGAUACCGCCCAAGAGUUCAUAUCGACGGCGGUGUUUGGCACCUCGAUGUCGGCUCAUCACAUCCUGGGGCUGAAGUAGGUCCCAAGGGUAUGGCUGUUCGCCAUUUAAAGUGGUACGCGAGCUGGGUUUAGAACGUCGUGAGACAGUUCGGUCCCUAUCUGCCGUGGGCGCUGGAGAACUGAGGGGGGCUGCUCCUAGUACGAGAGGACCGGAGUGGACGCAUCACUGGUGUUCGGGUUGUCAUGCCAAUGGCACUGCCCGGUAGCUAAAUGCGGAAGAGAUAAGUGCUGAAAGCAUCUAAGCACGAAACUUGCCCCGAGAUGAGUUCUCCCUGACUCCUUGAGAGUCCUGAAGGAACGUUGAAGACGACGACGUUGAUAGGCCGGGUGUGUAAGCGCAGCGAUGCGUUGAGCUAACCGGUACUAAUGAACCGUGAGGCUUAACCUU